rnacentral:rRNA from 1 species
UACAGAGGGUGCGAGCGUUAAUCGGAAUUACUGGGCGUAAAGCGCACGUAGGCGGAUUUGUAAGUCAGGGGUGAAAUCCCGGGGCUCAACCUCGGAACUGCCUUUGAUACUGCGAAUCUCGAGUCCGGAAGAGGUGAGUGGAACUCCUAGUGUAGAGGUGAAAUUCGUAGAUAUUAGGAAGAACACCAGUGGCGAAGGCGGACUCACUGGUCCGGUACUGACGCUGAGGUGCGAAAGCGUGGGGAGCAACAGG